rnacentral:rRNA from 1 species
AGAUUGAACGCUGGCGGCAUGCCUUACACAUGCAAGUCGAACGGCAGCACGGGAGCAAUCCUGGUGGCGAGUGGCGAACGGGUGAGUAAUACAUCGGAACGUGCCCAGUAGUGGGGGAUAGCCCGGCGAAAGCCGGAUUAAUACCGCAUACGACCUAGGGGUGAAAGCGGGGGAUCGCAAGACCUCGCGCUAUCGGAGCGGCCGAUGUCAGAUUAGCUAGUUGGUAGGGUAAAAGCCUACCAAGGCGACGAUCUGUAGCUGGUCUGAGAGGACGACCAGCCACACUGGGACUGAGACACGGCCCAGACUCCUACGGGAGGCAGCAGUGGGAAUUUGGACAAUGGGCGCAAGCCUGAUCCAGCCAUGCCGCGUGCGGGAAGAAGGCCUUGGUGUAAACCGCUUUUGUCAGGUAAGAAACGCUACCGAAUUAACUACCGUCGGAGUAAUGAACGUACCGUAGAAAGAAUAAGCACCGGACUAACUACGUAGCCAAGCAGCCGCGGUAACU